UAUCGGAGAUUAAUUUUUUUCUCUCCUUAAUAACCUUACUACCAUGGAUAAGCCUAGGUGCUUGCAGAAAC
rfam:Sus scrofa chromosome X.